ensembl:snRNA LOC120096850 U2 spliceosomal RNA
AUCGCUUCUCGGCCUUUUGGCUAAGAUCAAGUGUAGAAAGUUCAUUAACUAUAUUUUGUUCCAACCAUA